ACAGUUCAUCGACUGAUGUGCCAAGUGUCGGAAGUCCUCUCUGGCCUCAAGCUUUUGUCUGGCUUUGCCGGCUGUGUGUGUGUGGUCAGGUGUUCCUAUAAGUCUGCUGGGCUGCAUGUGCCCUGGGUUUCCUUCCCUAGGUCUCCGGACUCGUGCAAGGAGAAAGGGAAGGUCCUGCUGAUAGACCCGUCAUUGGUGUUUCGCCCAGAAGAUGCCAUCACCAAGUCUGGCUGGGAAUUUCGCAGAUUUCCUGAGGACUCUGGCCACCCUCACAUGCAGCAAGUGAAACAGACCUACCUUAGCAUGCACACCCACCAGUGUGUCGACUAUGUUCAGAGCAAGCACAUCCAGUGGGGAUUAUUUAACAAGUUUGAAGCAACAGUUUUUGAGGCGCUGGAGAAGCUCAAUGAUCUGAUAGAUGAGAGUGAUCCAGAUGUUACAAUCCCCAACAUUGUUCACGCAUACCAGACGGCUGAACGCCUUCGAGAGGCUUACCCAAAUGAUGAUUGGCUCCAUCUUACUGGCCUCAUCCAUGAUCUAGGCAAGAUAAUGACCUUCUAUGGAGAGCCACAAUGGUCAACAGUUGGGGACACGUUCGCAGUGGGAUGCAAGUUUCCAGAGUCCAUUGUCUACAGACACACCACUUUCCAUAAGAAUCCAGAUCUCAAUAACCCAAAAUUCAACACGAAGUAUGGCAUGUAUGAACCCAACUGUGGCCUCCAAAAUAUAUACAUCUCUUGGGGUCAUGAUGAGUACAUGUACCGAGUCCUGAAACAUAACAAGUGUACACUUCCUGAUGAAGCCUUUUACAUUAUCAGGUUCCACUCAUUCUACCCUUGGCACACUGGUGGGGACUACAUGCACCUGUGUGACAAUCGUGACCUUGAAAUGCUUCCUUGGAUUAAAGAGUUCAACAAAUUCGAUUUGUACACCAAAAAGGAAGAAAUUCCUAAUGUUGAAGAGUUGAAACCUUAUUACCAGUCGCUAAUAGACAAGUAUUGUCCAGGGAAGCUAAACUGGUAAAUUUACAGGAUGUUUAAAGAAGAAAUGUUUUAUUGAUACUGUACAAGGCUGUACAGAACUAUACUGGAUUCUACUAAGGCUAUGUUCUAAAUUAAACCGGUACUUCGCUUAUACUGCAUUAUUUUCCAUGCACCUUAUGGAUUUGCACGCUGAAGUAUAUACAGGUACAGUAUAUCACUUCCAAAAGCAAUGUAAAUAUUACAAUAUACUUAAUUUGGGACAGCUAUAUGAUAUGUCCUUUCUUACCCCUCAUGAAAGUGGCUAAUGGGAAAAUUAUAAUAACUUGUGUAGGAUAUGGUCUAUAUUUGCUACAAAUUUUAUAAGAUUAAUUUUUAAAUAUUUUGUCAUGUAUGUAUGUAGCAUAUUUUUGUAUCUAAAUAUUGCAUAAAUAGUUAUAAUUUUA
rnacentral:misc_RNA from 1 species